UGGGUGAUAACCCUAGCCGCCAUCCCCAUCCCAGCGCGCCCCCUCCUUCGCAGCCGCCGCCACGUCUCCCGUCGUUGAGCUCGCCUCCGCCGCUGCUCUCCCCUGUCCCUCCCGCACCACCAACCCCGACUCCUCCCCUGUACACGGCGAGCUCGACGAGCAAGGCAGACAUUUGGGCGCUGCUGUACGAGGGCCAUGCCGAACACGCCCCGGAGCACGACGGCCUCUGCUUCCGCUUCUCAUCUGAUGGGCACCUCUGCGCGUGUGACGACCUAGGUGCCGCCGCUGUCACCACCGACACAAGUUCAAAGGCGACGGCCGCGCAUCGCCAUCAUCGGGACGAGCGACAAGGCCAAAGGCGACGGAGGCGACGGCCGCGCGUCGCCAUCACUGGGAGGAGCGACGCCCGCCGAGACGGCCGUCCAUGUCGCCGGUGUCAUCAACCUUCAGGUGCUCUUCCUCCCGUCUCAGCUAGGGUUCCUGUCCUUCCUCUCACUUCUUUCUCUCCCUCGCAUAUCUCUCUCCGUCGUCGUCGUCACCAUCCACACGAGGAGCACACAGACGGCUAAUCCGUCCAGGUUUGAGGCGGUGUGGUCUCGCAUCGCCUCUCUCCCCUUCAAGAACACUGUGCUCUCCCCUCUGUUCACUGUUGGUGGUUCAGAUACGGGCCAUUGAUGCUCAUUGGUAUUGCCGUGGCCGCGUCGGAAGAGGAGGCACGGCGUUGUGCGGAAGAUGGGGGGAGGCCGUCGUGGUGGUGGGGCUGGACUUUGCCGCCUGCGACGAGGCGGCCGUCGACGCCGCGGUGGAGGCGGCAUGGCAUUGCUUUGGCCACGGCGAGCUCAACACCCUGGUUAACUGCUGCUCCUAUGAAGGGGAAGUGCAAGACUGCCUUAGUGUAACUGAAGAUGAGUAGUCACACCUUGGCUGCUAAUAAAGGCGAUGGCAAAGUGGUUCCGGGAUGCGCAGUCCGGCGGUUCCAUGGUAUGCUUGAUCCAGAUCAUCGGUGCUGAGAGAGGACUCUGCCCAAGGGUUGUGGCAUACUGUACGAGUUUAGGCGUUGUUCAUCAGCUUGUCAGAUGGACUGACCAGAUGCAUGAUUGAAGUGAAAGGAGAAGGGCAUUUUCAUCAAAGGAACAUUUAUUGUGAGCUGGAUACAACUCAUGUUUGAUUAGUUGAGCUCUCCUCCUUGGCGAUUGGCUGAAGGAGGACCAGUCCGUCAAGCUAAGAUGGGCCGCAUCUGACUCGGCCUGUUGCAGUGGGGUGCCUUGCCUCCUUUGACACUCAACAUGAGACAAGGUGAUCUGGUGUUGGUUCUUAGGUUUAGAAGGUUUAUAAAUGAUCGGGGUCGUGUCUGUUGGAUGAUUGUGCCUUGGUGCUAUUUCCUGCUGGGUGUAUGAAUGAAACGUGAUUGAUCUUUGCCCAUUAACCUGUAUGACAGUUUAAUUCAAGUUAGUACAAGCAUAUGUUUGUUAAUAGAAUGUUUUAUGUUUUUUACAAGAAGCAUUGUACACUGCAACUAUUUUGGAUGGAAUAGUUACUAUAAGAGUGGGCUAUAUGUCACCAACCUUCUAAUUGUAUAUUGUAUUAUCUGAAGUUUGGUAUUGUUUCAUAAGCAUUUCUUUCAAUGUCAGAUUACUAUGAUUCUGACACCCAUAGUACAUGGCACGAACAGUUAUUUCUGUAACAAGGUUUUGAUUCAUGCUUAUGGUCACAUUAUGAAGUUGUACUCUGCUUCAACUCAUGUUUCUACCCUAAUUUGUCUGACUGGUUCUUUUUAUUUUUGUCGACGAGGUAUGUCAAGGCGACGUGGCGGCACUAUGGACGACAUAAGCAUGACCAGAUCAGUGGUGAAAAUCCCAGGUGUAAAUAUUCUCUUUAUUCUGUCUCAUUUUGUUGAAUGAAUAGUUACUUUAUAUGAUGCUGGUAAGGGUUUGAAUGAAUAGUUACUUUAUAUAUAUGCAUUGCCUGCUAUUUGCAAAGUUUGUUGGCUUUGGUCUGCAACUACAACUUGCACAAUAGGUGCAAUCGGAUAAAUGAUACAACUUGCACAAUAGUUACUUGAUAUGAGCUUAUGAAGAAGCUUGAGGAAACACGAAGGUCAAUAGGAUGCAUUUCCGUAGAGCUUGAUCGUGCAGAUUUUCUUGAAUUAAAGGCUUACUGAUAAAGCUAAGGUUUCUAUGGUUGAAAGGGAUUAUACCAAUUUACAGGACCCAAAGUGGCAGAAGAUUCUGCAACUGUGGAAACCACCAGGUACAUGUAGAACGCACAAAACAAUACUCCCUCCGUUCCAAAAUAAAUGACUCAACUUUGUACUAAAGUUAGUAUAAAGUUUAAUCAUCUAUUUUGGAACGGAGGGAGUACCUUCUAAGAUGAACCAGUACCUUAGGAGUUAGAGAGCACACGUGAAAUUACUAUCAGUUAGGAUUAUCAAGUUUAUUAGAUACACAGCAUCAGAAUGAGUGAGCGAGUGCAUGUAAAAUUGCUUUGAACAGUGAGCGAGUCCCGCACCAGUUUUAAUGCUGUAUAGAUUAUGUGUACUUAUAUUUAUUGAACUGGAUUACUUAAUAAAAUUUGAAGCCAAAUUUAAGAUGAUUCGAUGAAGAAAAAUUAGAAAACUUAAACAAUGUCAUGUCAUGUGUUAAGCUUAGAUGAUGCCUUUCUUACACAAAGGUCUUACAGUGUAUUUCUAUUAGUCAUUCUAAUAAACAAGGAUACCUUCCUUGCACAGGUAGUUCGGGAGUGAUGAUCAAUCAAUUCGAAGAACCACUUGCUUCGGCACUGUUAUUGCCCAACUAUGUAUUAUACCACUAGCUACCAAGUCGUUGCAGUGAAUUUCUAUUCGACCAUUCAUUUGUAGGAAUGUCUUGCUCUGAAUAUUAUGUUGCAUCAAAAUUGCUGGAUGCUCUCAGACCUUGACUGCUUUGUGUAAAUAUACAGUAUAUAAAGCAUUCUGUGUUAGCCCUGUUU